rnacentral:rRNA from 1 species
GACGAACGCUGGCGGCGUGCUUAACACAUGCAAGUCGAACGGAAAGGCCCUGCUUUUGUGGGGUGCUCGAGUGGCGAACGGGUGAGUAACACGUGAGUAACCUGCCCUUGACUUUGGGAUAACUUCAGGAAACUGGGGCUAAUACCGGAUAUGAGCUCCUGCUGCAUGGUGGGGGUUGGAAAGUUUCGGCGGUUGGGGAUGGACUCGCGGCUUAUCAGCUUGUUGGUGGGGUAGUGGCUUACCAAGGCUUUGACGGGUAGCCGGCCUGAGAGGGUGACCGGCCACAUUGGGACUGAGAUACGGCCCAGAAUCCUACGGGAGGCAGCAGUGGGGAGUAUUGCACAAUGGGCGGAAGCCUGAUGCAGCAACGCCGCGUGCGGGAUGACGGCCUUCGGGUUGUAAACCGCUUUCGCCUGUGACGAAGCGUGAGUGACGGUAAUGGGUAAAGAAGCACCGGCUAACUACGUG